GUUCAUCCGCUGAGUGGUUGAAUUCCUGGUCUACCGGCCCCUGGAGGAGUGGUUGAUUGCCUGGUCUACUGUGGAUAUGAGUGGUUGAUUCCCUGGUCUACCCCUGGAUGACGCAGCUGUUCCUAUGCAGGGGAAGACUCACACAAGCGAUAAGGUAAGGUUUUAAUGGCUGGGUUUACAAGAGGUUUUAAUGGCUGGGUUUACAAGAGGUUUUAAUGGCUGGGUUUACAAGAGGUUUUAAUGGCUGGGUUUACAAGAGGUUUUAAUGGCUGGGUUUACAAGAGGUUUUAAUGGCUGGGUUUACAAGAGGUUUUAAUGGCUGGGUUUACAAGAGGUUUUAAUGGCUGGGUUUACAAGAGGUUUUAAUGGCUGGGUUUACAAGAGGUUUUAAUGGCUGGGUUUACAAGAGGUUUUAAUGGCUGGGUUUACAAGAGGUUUUAAUGGCUGGGUUUACAAGAGGUUUUAAUGGCUGGGUUUACAAGAGGUUUUAAUGGCUGGGGUUACAAGAGGUUUUAAUAGCUGGGUUUACAAGAGGUUUUAAUGGCUGGGUUUACAAGAGGUUUUAAUGGUACAUAUCUACUGAAUGUUGCUGUGUUACAUAUCUUGACAUGCUCUCAGGGUAAGGAGUGUUCUGAUAUGGUGCCUUCCCCCUCCCCCAGCACCUGUCGGCCCUGGAGACUCCCCCCUGAGCCUGACGGUGGAGCUGUGGGCCCUGCACCAGACCCCCACACACCCCCACACCACCCACAGCAGGGGCAGGGCGUUGAGACUCCCCCCACAGGCUAAGACAGGGAGGGACUUGAAGAUCCAGGUUUUUGUCAUCUGCACAGGAAUUGACACGUGGUAUUUGGGAGCAGCGGGUAGCGGGCUUUUUUUUUUAAUAUAGUUUCCUUUUUUGUGUGCCCCCUUGAGCUGUCUCCUUUGUUGUAGAAAAAAAAUACUUGACAAGGCUUUCAUAGGUGUUUGGGGCAUUUCCAUGGGUAGUUUAAUGACCCUGGUGGUAGUCUGACCCUUCCUCUGUGCAAUGAACUUGAAAAAACGCUCAUAAAAACAUGCUUAUUAACCCAGUAGCAGCAGGGAUCAUGUUUCUUAAUGGUCCCUCCAAGCGAGAAAAAUGAGAAAAAUUCACCCAUCACACAAACCAUUUCAUAUAUAUCAAAGCAUUUGCGAUCAGAUUAUGUAUCUUCUAUUUUGGGGGGGUUAUAUCAUGGCUCACAACCAAGAGAGCCCGGGCAAAGUGGAAAAAUUUGGGUAGCUUUUCCGAUACCCUACGCCCCUGUCCACCCAGCAGUGAUUGGGUACCAGGUAUUAAUCGGGGGUUGUGUCCCGUCUCCUGGGGUCUGUUCCCUUCUCCUAUAAUUCCUUCCCCUUCUGUCUCUCUCUGGCAUAUGAUCACCGAUGUUGCGCUGCCCACUAAACAAAACUUUACAACUUUCCAACAGUUGAAUUACAGUUUGAUCCAAGUGUUGUCCCUGUGGCUCACCCUCCUAGAGAAAUACCUGUUGCUCUGAGAGGUAAACUUAAGAAGGAAUAGACCAUAUGGAAAGAUUAGGUAUCAUUAUUGAAGAAAAUACACCCACAGACUGGCUCAAUA